GGCCAUUGGCCUCCUUGAAUCCUCUGGAGUCUCUGAAGAUCUGCAAAAGCCUUCUUGUCUUCCACCCCAUGGUGACAGGCAUGGGGGGAGGCAAGAGUGGCCAGGAAUUGUCCUCUCCCCUGCACUGCUGGUGUGGGGGAAACGUAGGCGGGACCUGAAGCGAUGCAGCCCCCCUGGGCAUUCUCACCUGGUGGCUGGCUCUUUCCUCUCUGGGACUGUUCUAGAAUCCCUGGAAAAGUCUGGGAGCAGAGGCUCCUCGCAGACUCAGCCCUCUGAGCCUCAGGAUGGGCCUCGGUCAAAUGGGGACCGCUCACACCUGGCCUCCAUUGUAUCCAAAUGUGAUUACACAUCUGGGCAGCAGCUCCCCCCCCCCCCCGUCCCCGCCCUGCCUCAAGAAGGAGCGCAAGGCGAGCGAGACUCCUGGAGCCAAGACGACCUUCACCCUUGGGUUUUGUCCGCGUGGAGAAGACAGGUGCCACAGUCCUGCUAGGGUGGAGGGAAUGCUGGCCCCCGGUCUCUCUGGAGCGAGGGGACUCCACGGAUCGGGGACAGGAGACACGCGUCUCCAGCCCCGGGGCCCGGCUGUGCGCGCAGGAGGGAGGACCCAGAGCGGGCUCUGCCUGGGCUUGCCUGGGCUUGUUCAGAGCCAGGCUGCUUGCCUCGGUGACUGCGCGGAUCCGGGGAGAUUUCGAGAUUUUGCGGGAGCCUUGGAACCAAGCCCCGGGGAGGAGGCGGCUGGAAGCCCGCGCGACCUGCUCGCCCCGUCCAAGGGUGAGCCCAGGGCCUGCCCUCUGGGGAGUUAA
rnacentral:lncRNA from 9 species